UGCUUGUUUGGCCUUUGAGCUGAACGGGUGGCCUCUGGUCGGGUGGUUUCGGGGAUGUUUAUCGUAAAGGUGCAUGAGUGGUGUUUGGUUUGUUACGUGUGGUUGGCUGCGGCGCUUGCAACAACUUCCAUGCUUCAAACCUCUUCAGUAGUGUGGCAAGGCUUGUAUCGCCUUGUGCGUCUUGUGGGUUUACUGUGUUGAAUGCCUACUCAAUGGUAUCGGUUGGUUAGAUCAAAUUUUCAUUUCGCCUAACGUUGCGUUUGCGACGUGAGGUGAACCAUGAUGCGGUCUCUUUGAUCCACCUUGUUGAAGCACAUGCUUUCACAUUGUGGCGCAUUGAGCAUUGCUUGGUGUCUUGUGUACGGAACAUAUAGUGGGCAUGGAUCUAACGAUUCUUGUUUGCCCUCAUAUAGCGUUCUUGCUUCUUGAAAACGACUUGCGCUACGUGUUGGCUUGUCCGACCGUGGUGCUACGUCGAAGAGGAAUGCUACCUGGUUGAUCCUGCCAGUAGUCAUAUGCUUGUCUCAAAGAUUAAGCC
rnacentral:misc_RNA from 1 species